AGAGGUUCACCUCAACAAGAUAACGGUUCAAGGUUACUUUAUUGAAGAUGAAAUGGCGUCAAGUUUGGAUUGUGAAGACGAUCCCUCUUCCUGGAUCUGUCUAUCUCUUAAUGAGGGCGUGUCUACUGAGUCUGGACCUUGUCAAACAGAUGCAGUUAGCACACAAAGGCCAUUUGGUGAUCGCCCUAACA